UACAGAGGUCUCAAGCGUUGUUCGGAUUCAUUGGGCAUAAAGGGUGCGUAGGUGGCGCGGUAAGUCGGGUGUGAAAUCUCGGAGCUUAACUCCGAAAUUGCAUUCGAUACUGCCGUGCUUGAGGACUGGAGAGGAGACUGGAAUUCAUGGUGUAGCAGUGAAAUGCGUAGAGAUCAUGAGGAAGACCAGUGGCGAAGGCGGGUCUCUGGACAGUUCCUGACACUGAGGCACGAAGGCCAGGGGAGCAAACGGG
rnacentral:rRNA from 1 species